AGUGAACGCUGGCGGUAGGCCUAACACAUGCAAGUCGAACGGCAGCACAGUAAGAGCUUGCUCUUACGGGUGUCGAGUGUCGGACGGUUGAGGAAUACAUCGGAAUCUACUUUUUCGUGGGGGCUAACGUAGGGAAACUUACGCUAAUACCGCAUACGACCUACUUGUGAAAGCAGGGGAUCUUCGGACCUUGCGCGAUUGAAUGAGCCUAUGUCGGAUUAGCUAGUUGGCGGGGUAAAGGCCCACCAAGGCGACGAUCCGUAGCUGGUCUGAGAGGAUGAUCAGACAGACGGGAACUGAGAAACGGUACAGACUCCUACGGGGGGCAGCAGUGGGGAAUAUUGGACAAUGGGCGCAAGCCUGAUACAGCCAUACCGCGUGGGUGAAGAAGGACUUAGGGUUGUAAAGCCAUUUUGUUGGGAAAGAAAAGCAGCAGGUUAAUACCCCGCUGUUAUGACGGUACCCAAAGAAUAAGCACCGGCUAACUUCGUG
rnacentral:rRNA from 1 species